CAAAACACAGUGUGGGGCUGUGGAGGGUUUAGAGACGUGAACAUAUGGACACACAAGUUCAACAAUAAUUCAGAAUUUCCUAAAAUAGCACGUGAAAUUUAAAUGAUGAUGAUUAACCUCAUUAGGAUCCAUAUAAAAUCACAAAGAUAAAGCGGUGCAGAGAAUGGAUGGAUGUGAUAAGUAGUGAUUUUAUAUGGUUAUAUGGAUCCUAAUGAGGUUAAUAUGAAAGAAGGAUGUGUGCAAAGAUGAGCUGUGCCAAGUUUUGCGCACGGAUUAAUAAAAUAGUGGGAACAUUAUGUAAACUGAGGUCAAGGUGCGUUCAGAAUACAGUUAAAACUGCAUUUGUAGAAUUUAAGAGAAGUAAUUUUCAUAUAUAGUUUGUUUAAUGUCUCAUCAAGGCAAAUUAGAUUAAUAAAAUGUAUGUAUUCGCCCAAUUGUCAGUGUAUUAUCUGCAUCAUGGAUAUUUAUUUUCUAUUUCCAGCUUGUGUUUUCAUUUAGCAAGUUAUUUAUUUCAAUUUUCACAGUCCAGUCCUUUCCUUUGAACCUCUAAAUUUGCUUUUAAAUACAAAACAGUUCACUCAUAUAACACCGUUUUUGAUCUGCAAUCUCCAAAAUAAUUUAUAAGUGACCUUUUAGGUUUGGUUAUUUAGUUUUUGUAAUAGGAUUAUUAUUAUUAUUCUGAAGUUCAGCUGUUCAAAAUAGAAGCAUCGCGUAUUUUCAGCUCAGACACAAUUCAAACAGGCGCUCCUUUGUAAUCCCUGUAGUGUUGUCGGAAGUGUGCACACGGUACAACCCCGCCUCCGUCUGUCUGUGCUGCUCCGGUCGCCUGCAGCUCUGCACCCGGCCGGACUCCGUGAGCAAGCCAAAUAAUGUGCUGCCUUCACGUACCGCCGUGUGCAGUGGGUAAAAGUCCAAGACAACGGUGCCAGGAGUGGUACACUGAAUGGUGCCACGGAUGGAAUGCAAAUUAGAUGUGUGUUUACAACAACCGCGAGGUUUCUGUCAAAAUGUGUGAAAUAAUCAGGGUUUUAGGAUGAAACGGAGAAAGUGUGUGACAGAAAAAUGAGUAGGUCAUAACAUCUCGGUUUGCUCUGAAUCCUGAGAGAUGAAUACAGUUUUUCUCAAUUGCUAAAACACUAAACCCUAUUGUCUGAACCAAAUUCUCAGUUGCCUGAACCCACUUAUUGAAUCAGUCACUCUUUUGGCAAAACAAGCACUUCUCACCUGUUUAGACACAUCUUGUCAACACAUUGUCAUUGUGAUGCAACUGUGUUGCAUAAUGGUGAGCACAGGUGACAAAAGUCAAACACAGUUAAAGCUCAGGCAUCACCGGUUGAACACAGCAACUCAAAAUUGAUCACGCUUAUGGCUAAUGGUGAGGGUACAUAUAAGCCAGAGCACUGGUUUGUGAGGCACUACAAUGGACAGAAAUCUAAGAAGAGUAGUUCAUGUGAGAGGAGGUCGAGCAGGUCAAGGUGGUCGAGGUGGUCAGCGAGGACAAAGAACAGUAAUAUCUGAUGAAAUCAGAGCUACUUCUUGUCCAUGGUAUGACGAUGAGGGAGGCCGGACUUAGGGUACAACCAAACAUCAGUAGAUUCACUGUGUCCACCAUAAUCUGAAGAUUUAGAGAAAAGAACAGGUAAUUACCUUUUUUGACAUUAUAGUACGUAAAUGUUGACAACAUUACAUAUGUACAAUGACUGUACUAUAUACUGUACCACAGUAAACAUGUUUCAGUACAUCACUGUGCCAGUGUACUGUAGUAUUGUAAUGGAGGGUUAGUCUGACUGUACGCCUAUUCCAUGUAUGUAUUUUUGUAAGUGCAUGUUCUCUUUUUGUAGAACUGAAAGACUGCCACAUGAGGGUGGUAGGACAUCUAUGUUCUCCCCACACCAAGAGACCCUAAUUGUCGACAUGGUCCGUGAGAACACCAGUAAACCGCAUGAAAUUCAGCAGAGGAUCAUUGAGGACAAUGUGCAUUUUGAGGGUACUGACAGUGUCAGCCUCUCUACUGUAGAUCAUGUCCUCAAGCGCAACAGACUGCGCAUGAAACAGCUGUACAGAGUGCCCUUUGAAUGCAACUCUGAUACAGUCAAAGAGCAAAGAUUCCAAGUGGUUUUGAACUGAAUGCAGUGGAAAAACCCCAUGAAUACAUCUACAUGGAUGAAGCUGGAUUUAUUCUCACCAGAAGGAGAAGGAGAGGCUGUAGUGUGAUUGGCCAACAGGCCAUUGUUGGUGUCCCUGGGCAGCGUGGUUGCAAUGUCACAUUGUGUGCUGCCAUCAGCAACCAUGGUGUUGUCCACCAUCAUGCCAACCUAGGGCCCUACAACACUCACCAUCUCCUCAUUUUCCUCAAUCACAUGCGAGAUGCUCUGUUAGGGCAGCAGGAUGAGCAGCCCAUCUAUGUUGUUGUUUGGGACAAUGUGAGUUUUCACAGAGGCCUCCAGGUUAGAGUGUGGUUCAAUAUGAACCAAGGUUUUAUCAAUCUUUGCCUUCCACCGUACUCCCCUUUCCUGAGCCCCAUUGAAGAAUUCUUCUCCUCAUGGCGGUGGAAGGUAUAUGAACGCCAACCUUACACCAGGGUGAAUCUCCUGCAAGCCAUGGAACUGGCCUGUGGGGACAUGGGUGUGGAGGCAUGUCAAGCCUGGAUACAGCAUGCCAGGGGGUUUCCCCCGUUUCCUGGCCAGAGAAAAUGUGGCCUGUGAUGUAGAUGAAGAUGUAGAAUGAUGCUGUGGCAAAGUAAUGCACUUCUUUUCUUUGUACUUCAUUUGUAUAUUUUUGUGCUUUAUUUUUACGUACAAGUGCUACAUGGAAAUGCACAGGAUUUCUGUUUUUUGCAAAUUCUUUAUUCUAUGUACAAGUGUUACAAAUGUCCAGAUAUUUUGUUUUUGUAACAUGCAUUUAGGCUAAAUAAACAUUUAUUUGUACCGCUUCA